rnacentral:rRNA from 1 species
GACAGGGGUCUCGAGCGUUUAAUCGGAAUUACUGGGCUUAAAGGGUGCGUAGGUGGGUCCGCAAGUGCUCCGUGAAAUCCCCCGGCUCAACCGGGGAACUGCGGGGCAUACUGCGGGUCUGAGGAAGGUAGGCGCCGAGGGAACAGUAGGUGGAGCGGUGAAAUGCGUAGAUAUCUACUGGAACGCCGAUGGUGAAGACGCUCGGCUGGGCCUUUCCUGACACUGAGGCACGAAAGCGUGGGGAGCAAACAGGG